AGAAAGUUUGAGAAGCCUGGCUGUGUGAGGCGGGGAGGGACCACUGCUCUUCUAUUGUCAUUGCCUGCAAACCUCAGGGUUCAGAAAGUUACACUGGAUUGAUGGGAGUGCUGUAAAUUUUAGUAACUGGGCUCAUCAUCAUGGGCGUGGCCGCUGUGUGACCCUAUGCACUAGAGGAGGUCGCUGGCGACGAAAAUGUUGUAUAAGUCGCCUGCCCUUCAUCUGCUCCUACUAAGCCAGAAGC